GAUGAACGCUGGCGGCGUGCCUAAUACAUGCAAGUCGAGCGAACAGACGAGGAGCUUGCUCCUCUGACGUUAGCGGCGGACGGGUGAGUAACACGUGGAUAACCUACCUAUAAGACUGGGAUAACUUCGGGAAACCGGAGCUAAUACCGGAUAAUAUAUUGAACCGCAUGGUUCAAUAGUGAAAGACGGUUUUGCUGUCACUUAUAGAUGGAUCCGCGCCGCAUUAGCUAGUUGGUAAGGUAACGGCUUACCAAGGCAACGAUGCGUAGCCGACCUGAGAGGGUGAACGGCCACACUGGAACUGAGACACGGUCCAGACUCCUACGGGAGGCAGCAGUAGGGAAUCUUCCGCAAUGGGCGAAAGCCUGACGGAGCAACGCCGCGUGAGUGAUGAAGGUCUUCGGAUCGUAAAGCUCUGUUAUUAGGGAAGAACAAAUGUGUAAGUAACUAUGCACGUCUUGACGGUACCUAAUCAGAAAGCCACGGCUAACUACGUG
rnacentral:rRNA from 1 species